UAUUGCGUGGCAAAGGAAGACAUGCAAGGAGUGUGUGCCCCGUCCCGCCUGAAUUGUCUGUCACGCUGUCGAGUCGGCUGGGUCCAAACCACAACCCAACAGCCAAGGAGCUGGGGAGAGAGAGAGAGAGAGAGAGAGAGAGAGACGGAAAGGAGGGGGAGGGGGGAUUGGUGGUGGAAUGGAUGGCAAGCAAAAAAAAUAAAGCAAAACUCCCAACCGAUCGUCGUCCUCCCCCACCCCCAUCCACCGCUCUCUCUCUGCUGUCGCACCCGGUUUCCUGUGUGAAGAAAAACAAAAUGGGAAUGAACUCCCAUCAGAUCAACAAGGCAGGUGUCAACUCGAAGGAAACUCGACGCUGCAAGAAAAGUAAUAAUCAAUGGCCAAUUGGGCCAGCUCCCCAUGGGACACUGGGAAACCAGGCCUUCAGGAGAAAGGGACCAAAUAACAGUUUGUCUUUUGGGGAGUGAAUAAAGUAAACAUCUGUCGCGCCUUUUUAAAACAAAUCAAUCUUUCAUCACCACACAUGGGAAGAUCGUUGAAACGUACGGUUAUUUUAAUAGUUGCAUGGAUGUUUUGCAAAGAAGCCGUUGCAAAGGAUGUCUUAAUUAAUAUUCCGGAAGAUGUUUACCGGAAUACGGCUGACUCCAUGACUCUUGGCUCUCUGGCUGCUGGUGCUGGACAGCACGUUGUCGGAAAUUGUUGACAAACGAUUUUAACUGCUUAUUUACAAUUCAGGCAUGAUUCCUCGCAAAAUUCCAGAACUCGAUCUUUCACCACUCCAUUCCCAGCAUAUCAUUUUUAUUGAUCUGUUUGCCAUUUAUCAUUAUAGUCCUUUGCAAAUAAAAUGGUUGUUUUCA